rnacentral:rRNA from 1 species
GACCCGCGUCCCAUUAGCUAGUUGGUGAGAUAACAGCUCACCAAGGCCACGAUGGGUAACCGGUCUGAGAGGGCGAACGGUCACACUGGAACUGAGACACGGUCCAGACUCCUACGGGAGGCAGCAGUGGGGAAUAUUGCGCAAUGGGGGCAACCCUGACGCAGCAAUACCGCGUGAGUGAAGAAGGUUUUCGGAUCGUAAAGCUCUGUUAUUGGGGAAGAAAAAAAGACGGUACCCAAGAAGAAAGUUCCGGCUAACUACGUGCCAGCAGCCGCGGUAAUACGUAGGGAACAAGCGUUGUCCGGAUUUACUGGGCGUAAAGGGCACGCAGGCGGUUUUUUAAGUCAGAUGUGAAAGGCCACAGCUCAACUGUGGACAUGCAUUUGAAACUGAAAGACUUGAGUAUUGGAGAGGCAAGUGGAAUUCCUAGUGUAGCGGUGAAAUGCGUAGAUAUUAGGAGGAACACCGGUGGCGAAGGCGGCUUGCUGGACAAAUACUGA